rnacentral:rRNA from 1 species
CCUACGGGUGGCAGCAGUGAGGAAUAUUGGUCAAUGGACGAGAGUCUGAACCAGCCAAGUAGCGUGAAGGAUGACUGCCCUAUGGGUUGUAAACUUCUUUUAUAGGGGAAUAAAAUGUUCCACGUGUGGGAUUUUGUAUGUACCAUAUGAAUAAGGAUCGGCUAACUCCGUGCCAGCAGCCGCGGUAAUACGGAGGAUCCGAGCGUUAUCCGGAUUUAUUGGGUUUAAAGGGAGCGUAGGUGGUUUGUUAAGUCCGUUGUGCACGUUUGCGGCUCACCCGUAAAAUUGCAGUUGAAACGGGCAGUCUUGAGUACAGUAGAGGUGGGCGGAAUUCGUGGUGUAGCGGUGCACUGCUU